rnacentral:rRNA from 1 species
UGGGGAAUAUUGCACAAUGGGCGCAAGCCUGAUGCAGCCAUGCCGCGUGUGUGAAGAAGGCCUUCGGGUUGUAAAGCACUUUCAGCGAGGAGGAAGGUGGUGAACUUAAUACGUUCAUCAAUUGACGUUACUCGCAGAAGAAGCACCGGCUAACUCCGUGCCAGCAGCCGCGGUAAUACGGAGGGUGCAAGCGUUAAUCGGAAUUACUGGGCGUAAAAGCGCACGCAGGCGGUUUGUUAAGUCAGAUGUGAAAUCCCCGGGCUCAACCUGGGAACUGCAUUUGAAACUGGCAAGCUAGAGUCUCGUAGAGGGGGGUAGAAAUUCCAGGUGUAGCGGUGAAAUGCGUAGAGAUCUGGAGGAAUACCGGUGGCGAAGGCGGCCCCCUGGACGAAGACUGACGCUCAGGUGCGAAAGCGUGGGGAGCAAACAGAUUAGAUACCCUGGUAGUCCACGCUGUAAACGAUGUCGAUUUUGGAGGUUGUGCCCUUGAGGCGUGGNUUCCGGAGCUAACGNGUUAAAUCGACCGCC